GUUGAGUCAGUUAUCAUUGGAGUCCAUCUGGAGGAAUUUCUACCCAGCCUUGAUUGAUAUUUUCUCCUUGAAGCUGUGGGGAUUUUGACUUGUCAGCUAAAUAUUGUGGUCUUCAAUUUUCUUAUCUUCAAAAGGUCUAAGAGAGUUUUGUAGAAAAUGAAAUAAUAUUAUACAGCUCAUUUUUCUUAUAUUUCUCAGCAAAGGUGAACAAUGUUUCCAGUUCUCAAGACAUUAUAUUUUGUUCUGAAGAGGAUAUGUAAGCAGACAGCUAUAUAUCAGCUGCAAAAACACCCAGUUGCCAAGAAGAGUGGAGGAGGGAUUAAUCCCCACAGGAGAGGUCCACAAAUUCCCAGGCCGCUGCAUCUUAAAGGAUGAACACCAUUUCUAAGAUCCUGUGACCUGGAUAAUCAAGAUUCACCACCACUUAUCCUAACUCCAAAAGUCAUCAGAGCUCUCUGCUCCUCCCUGUUCCAGAGACAGCCGCAUCUUCUUGUGCAGUGCCAGCCUCGUCCCAUAGACAAAAUGAUGAAGGUCAGUGUGAACAGAUUUGGCCGUAUUGGUCUCCUGGUUACCAGGGCUGCCGUCUGCUCUCAACAUGGCAAAGUGGAGAUUGUUGCCAUCAACGAUCCCUUCAUUGACCUCAACCUCAUGGUCUACAUGUUCCAGUAUGACGUCACCUAUGGAAAAUCCAAUGGCACAGGCAAGGCUGAGAAUGGGAACAUUGUCAUCAAUGGGAAGCCCAUCACCAUCUUCCAGGAGCAAGACCCUGCUAACAUCAAAUGGGGUGAGGCCGGUGCUGAGUAUGUCGUGGAGUCUACUGGUGUCUUUACCACCAUGGGGAAGGCUGGGGCCCACUUGAAGGGUGGAGCCAAAAGGGUCCUCAUCUCCACCCUUUCUGCUGAUGUCCCCAUGUUUGUGAUGGAUUUGAACCAUGAGAACUAUGACAACUCACUCAACAUUGUCAGCAGUGCAUCCUGCACCACCAACUGCUUAGCCCCCCAGCCAAGGUCAUCCAUGACAACUUUGGCAUCGUAGAAGGGCUCAUGACUAUGGUUCAUGCCAUCAGAAGACUGUGGAUGGCCCCUCUGGAAAGCUGUGGCAUGAUGGUCGUGGGGCUGCCCAGAACAUCAUCCCUAUAUCCACUGGUGCUGCCAAGGCUGUGGGCAAGGUCAUCCCAGAGCUGAAUGGGAAGCUCACUGGCAUGACCUUCCGUGUUCCUACCCCCCAUGUGUCCAUCCUGGAUCUGAUGUGCCACCUGGAGAAACCUGCCAAGUAUGAAGACAUCAAAAAGGUGGUGAAGCCGGCAUCUGAGUGCCCACUGAAGGGCAUUCUCGGCUACACUGAGGACCAGGUUGUCUCCUGCAACUUCAACAGCAACUCCUACUCUUCCACCUUUGAUGCUGGGGCUGGCAUUGCUCUCGAUGACAACUUUGUCAAGCUAAUUUCCUGGUAUGACAAUGAAUACAGCUAUAGCAACGGAGUGGCGGACCUCAUGGCCUACAUGGCCUCCAAGGAGUAAGAAACCCUGGACCACCCACCCCAGCAAGGACACUGAGAGUAAGAGAGAGGCCCACGGGUUGCUGAGGAGUCCCUAUCCCAGCUUGGCAUCCAACACUGAACAUCUCCCUCACAAUUUCCGUUCCAGACCCCCAUAAUAACAGGAGGGGCCUAGGUAGCCUUCCCUACUCUCUUGAAUACCAUCAAUAAAGUUUGCUGCACCCACAAAAAAAGGUCAUCAGAAUUUAUCCCUUUAGAAAAAAUUUGGAGAUUAGUCAGGGGUACUCUCCAGGUGAAGGUGGUCACUUUUCAUAUCUUUUUCCCAAAAGUACUCAUAUAUUUUAUUGAUUAUAUGCUUGAUUAAUGGUAGCUGGUGCUCCUUACUUAGAGCUUGUGAUGUAGCUCAAUUGUAAAACAUCUGGCUAGCAGAAACAAGACUCAGAGCUCAGUGCUCAACAUCACACCCACACACACACACACAUGCACACACACAGUUACACACAGACACAAACACAUGCACAUAUAUACUUAUAAAAAUACACACACAAACACACACAGACACACAGAGGAACACACAGAGACACACAGGCACAGGCCUCAUAAUGAACAGAAAAAGAAAGGGCUGUAAAUGCUUUUCAACUGUUGCAAUAUGAUGAAAAUCCAAGGGCUUUGUGUGCUAAGAAGAGCCAGAAUGGUUGUUAUUUCCAAACACUGUGCCAUUAAGGCUAAUUCCCAGAGUAACCAGGUUUUGUUUUGUUUUGUUUUCUUUGUUUUUUCUUUGUUUUGUUUUCUUUGUUGUUGUUUUUUCUUGUGGCACAGGUCAGUCAUCAAACCUUUCUCAACCUACUCUCCCUACCUACAAAUGAGUCAGUUGAUAAGAAGUCUAAUGCAAUUUACCAAUUGUUUGACAUUUUGUGUUUGUUAAUUUUAGGGUUUCCCAGAGCUCUUUAAGAAGCUAUUUGAUGUCUGUUUGUGCGUUGGUUCGUUUGACAGGCAACAUGGGAGAACACUGGGCAGGAGGAGGGUGUUCUUCCCAUCAGCCCCUGCAGUCGUUUUGACCCCCCUUUCCCACUGAUUCUUUUUGAAAUCUCAGCUGCAAACAUUCUCCUCCCUCUGCCAGGGCGCUGUUCGUGGUAUUACUCACUAUUUGUCUCAGAAGUCACAGUAUUUUUAGCAGCCCCAUCAGGAGUUUAGGGAGACAGCUCAAACACAUGAUACAACUCAAAUAAAGAAAGCCUUGCACAUCUUAGGCUACCUGGCUUCUGACAUCAUAGCUGAGAGGCAAAUGGAAUCAUACGUGGCUGAAGUCUCACUGGCCCACAGUGUGCAUGGUCUAGGAGAGCCCAUUUCAGUGGAUUCUGGAGGUCUCUCACAAGCACAUGAUGAAAAAGGGCCCUGUGUCAUUUUCUCCACAAGGUUCUUCCCUCCUUAUGAGAUACACGUGCAGAAUAGAAUUAUCUUCAUUACAGAGGGUUUUCUCACACCCUCCCCCACCCAGAUGUGUGGAGGCGGUAGAAAAAAGUCAUCUGUCUCCCAAACAGCAGUUUGUCAGAAGGAAUAUUCGCAGAGGCAGAGGAGUCUUCCCUCCUUGCUGCCUUGUCUUUUAAAAUAGAAGUACUUCCCCUGGAAGCUGACUCUUAUCUACGCCAGGGAUUCCCCUCACACUUACUAUGGAGCAGAGACAUCAUCGUGGAGUGAGAGUGCUGGAGGGCAAGGGACCACUGUUGGCUUCUCGUGAGAAGAUGAAUAAGAAUGGCCUAAGGCUACAACAUGGGGAGGGGCACACACAUUCUGAAGACAAGUGGCUACUGUUGUCUGUGUUGGGAGAAGGUUGUUUCAUGUGUCAUAUAAUCUUAAUAUUGCUAGAAAGUAUUAAAUAGCUGAAAACCAGCAGGCUGUCCACAUAUGAAAGUCUUUGUCUCAGUCUCCAUCUCUUCUCUCUUUCACCCCCCCUUUCUCUCUCUCUCUCUCUCCCUCUCUCUCUCUCUCUCACACACACACACACACACAUUUACACAUGACAAUACCUGUUAAAAUGUGUUUCUCCAUUAAAAAAUUAAUAAUGAGCAAUCAGUUAAGGGGAACAUUCAGAAAACUCCCGUUAGUACUGUCUUUUUCCCCUCUUGGCUUUAAAAGCAAGGCAUGUAUAGAGAGUCUUGCUAAGAGGAAUGCACUUUCCUCUCCAACCAUCUCAAGUGUCUAAUUGGUCUGCUAAUUCUAUAGCAAUCAAUUUUAAUAUUUUAAAACUAAAUGACUUCCUACCACUUUGUUCAUAUUUCUUGAACCAC